AAUCCGGGGUCCCCGACCCCCGAGUUGUAAUUUGGAGAGGCAUCCUCCGGGAGGAGCGCUGGCCCAGGUUCCUUGGAACAGGACGUCACAGAGGGUGAGAAUCCCGUGCCAGGCCGGCUUCCUCCUCCAGGGUGGAGGGCCUUCGACGAGUCGAGUUGUUUGGGAAUGCAGCUCCAAGUGGGUGGUAGAUUUCAUCUAAAGCUAAAUACCGGCGGGAGACCGAUAGCGCACAAGUAGAGUGAUCGAAAGAUGAAAAGCACUUUGAAAAUAGAGUCAAAAAGUACGUGAAAUUGUUGAAAGGGAAGCGCUUGAGGCCAGACUCGGACCCGAGCAAACAUCGAGCCCCUCGGGGCCGUGCAAUUGCUCUGGGGCCGGGCCAGCAUCGGUCGGCGUGGCGGGACAAAGGUGCGGGGAAUGUGGCUCCCCCCGGGGAGUGUUAUCAGGCCCGCCCCCCAUGCCGCCGACGCCGACCGUGGACCGCGCCCCGCUAACGGGCUAGGAUGCUGGCUUAAUGGCCUUCAGCGACCCGUCUUGAAACACGGA
rnacentral:rRNA from 1 species